rnacentral:lncRNA from 1 species
GCUCCUCGGCCCGGACCGCCUCCGGGAGCGCCCACCCCGCCCCGCCGGCCCCAUCACCCCCGCCGCGGCCGCCCCCUCUCCGGGGCCCCUCUUCUCCCUACCUCGCCCCCCUUCCCGCUCCGGUCCUCUUUGUCCCCACUGCCUCGGAGCGCUCCUCUCUCCCCUCCUUUCCUCGGCCGAAGCGGACGCCAGCCCUGCGUCCCGUGUGUCCCACCCUCCUCCUGCGCGACCACAGCUUCCCCGGGCCCCAGCAUCCCCAAGCCGUCUGCUCCCUUCCUGUCGCUUUCCUCCCCAUGACCCCCUUCCUUCUUCAUGGGUGCCUGUCCCCGGGCCCCUCUCCUCGACCCCGCCUUGCCUUUCGAAUGUCCCCUGCGUGGACACACCUAACCCAGACGCCAACCUGCACGAGUGUCUCCCGGUAGCCGGGAGCCGGGACCCCAAGUUCACCUGUAGGAUUUCCCAGAAGGGGUGUUGGGGCCUGACCUUUCACAGAUGCUAGGAAGACGUGUGAAGGGAAACAGUUAACAUUUCUACACUGCAACUUUUUCACUUGAGACUCACAGCAUUCCUAUGAGAAAGAGACAGGGUCUCCCUAUGUUGCUCAAUCUCGUCUCUAACUCCUGGGAUCAAGCGAUCUUCCUACGUUGGCCUCCCAAAGUGCUGGGAUUAUAGGUGUGAGCCACCAUGCCUGGCCUGUGUUCAUCUUUCAUGUGAUUGUUUUUGCAAGAUAGAAAGGCAAAAGUUAGUAGUAGCAGGAUUGACCUUUGUAAUAUGAUCUUAAAAAUAUUGUCUCCUAAUUUGCAUAUGGAAGAAUCUCAACUAAAUAACCUCCUUUUAACCAGUUCACUAAACAAACCAAAGUUCUCCCUUUUUCCUAUAAAACAUGCUUCUAAUGCAGGUUAGAGGCUCUUGGCAAGUAGGCUACUGUCCAGCAUGUCCAAGGUCCUGCUCUCCCAUCUUUGAGUGCUAUGUUUACUAAGAGUCUAUUAGGUUCAUUCCCAGGCUUGUUUAUGCUCACUGUAUUUCUUAUUGUCAUUAUGUACCUUAAUGUAAUGUGAGUCAGAAAAAAACAUAUUUCUGUGAAGACUGGAUAGAACGCUUUGGAAAGAUUUGAUAAAAGCAAGUUACUAAAAAGAGUGUUGGCAGACCUGUAACAAAAAAUUGACAAAAGUUAUGGUCUAUGUGGAACCUGCCCUCAGAAUGUUCUUUUAGUUUCCCAAGGCUUCACAUUCUGUGUUAAAGAAACAAACUGAAAUUCAUGGACAAUGCAUUGCGAGUGUGAUUUAUACAAGAAAGGCAAUCUAGACGUCUUAGCAAUGGAAUGUAACCAUGUUUUUUAAAAGCCUAAGUCAUAUAUCAAAUGAUUGUCAAAACGAUAAC